CCCUUAGACGCUCUGGGCCGCACGCGCGCUACACUGACCAGUGCAACAAGCAUCCGUCCUUGGCCGACAGGCCCGGGCAAUCUUUGAACGCUGGUCGUGAUGGGGAUAGACUUUUGCAAUUUUUGGUCUUCAACGAGGAAUUCCUAGUAAACGCAAGUCAUCAACUUGCAUUGAUUACGUCCCUGCCCUUUGUACACACCGCCCGUCGCACCUACCGAUUGAAUGGUCCGGUGAAGCCUCCGGAUUGGCGCGCACCUCGGUGCCGCCGAGAAGUUGGCUAAACCUUACCAUUUAGAGGAAGGUGAAGUCGUAACA
rnacentral:rRNA from 1 species